AGUGAACGCUGGCGGUAGGCCUAACACAUGCAAGUCGAACGGCAGCACAGUAAGAGCUUGCUCUUACGGGUGGCGAGUGGCGGACGGGUGAGGAAUACAUCGGAAUCUACUUUUUCGUGGGGGAUAACGUAGGGAAACUUACGCUAAUACCGCAUACGACCUACGGGUGAAAGCAGGGGAUCUUCGGACCUUGCGCGAUUGAAUGAGCCGACGUCGGAUUAGCUAGUUGGCUGGGUAAAGGCCCACCAAGGCGACGAUCCGUAGCUGGUCUGAGAGGAUGAUCAGCCACACUGGAACUGAGACACGGUCCAGACUCCUACGGGAGGCAGCAGUGGGGAAUAUUGGACAAUGGGCGCAAGCCUGAUCCAGCCAUACCGCGUGGGUGAAGAAGGCCUUCGGGUUGUAAAGCCCUUUUGUUGGGAAAGAAAAGCAGCAGGUUAAUACCCCGCUGUUCUGACGGUACCCAAAGAAUAAGCACCGGCUAACUUCGUG
rnacentral:rRNA from 1 species